UACGGAGGGUGCGAGCGUUGUUCGGAAUCACUGGGCGUAAAGCGCGUGUAGGCGGCCUGCUAAGUCUGAUGUGAAAGCCCGAGGCUCACCCUCGGAAGCGCAUUGGAAACUGGCAGACUGGAGUCCCGGAGAGGAGGGUGGAAUUCCUGGUGUAGCGGUGAAAUGCGUAGAUAUCAGGAGGAACACCAGUGGCGAAGGCGGCCCUCUGGACGGUGACUGACGCUGAGACGCGAAAGCGUGGGGAGCAAACAGG
rnacentral:rRNA from 1 species